AUUAUCUGCAGCAGCUAUAGAAGCCCGGUAUCUCCUGCCGCGAUCCGUCAGUGACGUCAUCAAGCUCACGAAAUGUGUUGGCUCAGCGUCGUGGGUGUCUAGGUAA